rnacentral:rRNA from 1 species
GACGAACGCUGGCGGCGUGCUUAACACAUGCAAGUCGAACGGAAAGGCCCUGCUUUUGUGGGUUGCUCGAUUGGCGAACGGGUGAGUAACACGUGAUUAACCUGCCCUUGACUUUGGGAUAACUUCAGGAAACUGGGGCUCAUACCGGAUAGGAGCUCCUGCUCCAUGGUGGGGGUUGGAAAGUUUCGGCGGUUGGGGAUGGACUCGCGGGUUAUCAGCUUGUUGGUGGGGUAGUGGCUUACCAAGGCUUUGACGGGUAGCCGGCCUGAGAGGGUGACCGGCGACAAUGGGACUGAGGUACGGCCCAGAAUCCUACGGGAGGCAGCAGGGGGGAAUAUGACAGAAUGGGCGGACGCCAGAGGCAGCAACGCCGCGUGCGGGAUGACGGCCUUCGGGUUGUAAACCGAUUUCGCCUGUGACGAAGCGUGAGUGACGGUAAUGGGUAAAGAAGCACCGGCUAACUACGUG